rnacentral:rRNA from 5 species
AAAUUGAAGAGUUUGAUCAUGGCUCAGAUUGAACGCUGGCGGCAGGCCUAACACAUGCAAGUCGAACGGUAACAGGAAGCAGCUUGCUGCUUUGCUGACGAGUGGCGGACGGGUGAGUAAUGUCUGGGAAACU